rfam:Felis catus isolate Cinnamon breed Abyssinian chromosome D3, whole genome shotgun sequence.
ACUUGGCUGGCUCAGUUGGUAGAGUGUGUGACUCUUGAUCUCGGGGUUGUGAAUUCGAGUCCCAUGUUGGGUG